GUUUGACCCAGAACACAAGAAAUACAGGGUUGAAUAUGAGGACAGUGAGAACUGAAACGUAAGAUUCACCUCAAGACCACAAGACAAUCAUCCACCAGGAGUAAGCAGUGGCAGUAGAAUACUGCUGAGAGAAGAAGAAACUCAAGGCUUGAUCAUUGACUGGCCAGUGACUUCUUCAAAAUAGAUGAUGCCUGAGGAAGAACUGAAAUGUAAGAUUUCACCUCAAGACCACAAGACAAUCAUCCACCAGGAGUAAGCAGUGGCAGUAGAAUACUGCUGAGAGAAGAAGAAACUCAAGGCUUGAUCAUUGACUGGCCAGUGACUUCUUCAAAAUAGAUGAUGCCUGAGGAAGAUGUGAAUACUGGAAAGAUAAUUCCAGAAGCUGACUUUUGAUGCUUCUAUUGACUCAUGCCUGUAAUCCCAGCACUUAUAAGGCUGGAGGAGGAUGACAGCUGUGAGGCUGAGCAUAGUUUGGCUUCCA